rnacentral:rRNA from 1 species
AACGAACGCUGGCGGCAUGCCUAACACAUGCAAGUCGAACGCCCCGCAAGGGGAGUGGCGGACGGGUGAGUAACGCGUGGGAACCUGCACUUCAGUGGGGGAUAACGACGGGAAACUGUCGCUAAUACCGCAUACGCCCUACGGGGGAAAGAUUUAUCGCUGAAGGAUGGGCCCGCGUCGGAUUAGCUAGUUGGUGAGGUAAUGGCUCACCAAGGCGACGAUCCGUAGCUGGUCUAAGAGGAUGAUCAGCCACACUGGGACUGAGACACGGCCCAGACUCCUACGGGAGGCAGCAGUGGGGAAUAUUGGACAAUGGGGGAAACCCUGAUCCAGCAAUGCCGCGUGAGUGAUGAAGGCCUUAGGGUUGUAAAGCUCUUUCGGUGGUGACGAUGAUGACGGUAACCACAGAAGAAGCCCCGGCUAACUUCGUGCCAGCAGCCGCCGUAACAC